AUGUUAGAGUGUGUGUUAGAGUGUGUGUUGGAGUGUUGGUUAGAGUGUGUGUUAGAGUGUGUUGGAGUGUUGGUUAGAGUGUGUGUUAGAGUGUGUGUUGGAGUGUUGGUUAGAGUGUGUGUUAGAGUGUGUGUUAGAGUGUGUUGGAGUGUUGGUUAGAGUGUGCGUUAGAGUGUGUGUUAGAGUGUGUGUUGGAGUGUUGGUUAGAGUGUGUGUUAGAGUGUGUUGGAGUGUUGGUUAGAGUGUAUGUUAGAGUGUGUGUUAGAGUGUGUGUUGGAGUGUUGGUUAGAGUGUGUGUUAGAGUGUGUUGGAGUGUUGGUUAGAGUGUGUGUUAGAGUGUGUGUUGGAGUGUGGUUAGAGUGUGUGUUAGAGUGUGUUGGAGUGUUGGUUAGAGUGUGUGUUAGAGUGUAUGUUAGAGUGUGUGUUGGAGUGUUGGUUAGAGUGUGUGCAAGAGUGUGUGUUAGAGUGUGUGUUGGAGUGUUGGUUAGAGUGUGUGUUGGAGUGUGUUGGAGUGUGUGUUGGAGUGUGUUGGAGUGUGUGUUGAGUGUUGGUUAGAGUGUGUGUUAGAGUGUGUGUUGGAGUGUUAAUUUACUGUGCAGAAGUGUGUGUUAGUGUUUAAAAGUGUGUAUCAGUGUGUAGAAGUGUGCGCUAGCUGCAGAACCUCAGUGGUAUACUAUUUACAGAGCAGAAACAUGACAGUGUGUAUUAUUUGUUUACUAUGAGUACCAGGUUGUUGCACACCGUAACCAUGGAAACUACUAAUGUGUGAAUAAAGUGAUAUGUGGAACUGAUAGUAACACAUGAGGACGUAUGAGGAGAUAAAUAUGUAAAUAUAUAAACAUCAUCACGUCCUCAUAUCAGUUCACAUAUCAGUCUUUAUAUAGAGAGUAUCGGUUCAUUAUAUUACUUAAUGAACAUAAAUUAUCAGGGUUCUGUAUCUGUGAGGGACUGCUCUUAGGGGAGAUGGUUCUGUAUCUGUGAGGGACUGCUCUUAGGGGAGAAGGUUCUGUACCUGUGAGGGGCUGCUCUUAGGGGAGAAGGUUCUGUACCUGUGAGGGACUGCUCUUAGGGGAGAAGGUUCUGUACCUGUGAGAGACUGCUCUUAGGGGAGAAGGUUCUGUAUAUGUGAGGG
ensembl:lncRNA